rnacentral:rRNA from 1 species
UGCAGUCGAACGAAAGUUUUUAACUUUAGUGGCGAACGGGUGCGUAAUACGUGAGAAUCUGCCCUUAGGAGGAGAAUAACUUCUGGAAACGGUUGCUAAGUCUCCAUAUGCCGAGAGGUGAAAUAGUUUAGACUGCCUAAGGAUGAGCUCACGCCUGAUUAGCUUGUUGGUAAGGUAAUGGCUUACCAAGGCCACGAUCAGUAGCUGGUUUGAGAGAACGAUCAGCCACACUGGGACUGAGACACGGCCCAGACUCCUCCGGGAGGCAGCAGUGAGGAAUUUUCCGCAAUGGGCGAAAGCCUGACGGAGCAAUACCGCGUGAGGGAUGAAUGAUUUUGGUCUGUAAACCUCUUUUCUCAAGAAAGAAGUUCUGACGGUACUUGAGGAAUAAGCAUCGGCUAACUCCGUGCCAGCAGCCGCGGUAAUACGGGGGAUGCAAGCGUUAUCCGGAAUCAUUGGGCGUAAAGCGCCUGUAGGUUGUUUAAUAAGUCUGUUGUUAAAGACUAGGGCUUAACCCUAGGAAAGCAAUGGAAACUACUAGACUAGAGUAUGAUAGGGGUAGAGGGAAUUUCUAGUGUAGCGGUGAAAUGCGUAGAUAUUAGAAAGAACACCGGUGGCGAAGGCGCUCUACUGGAUCAUUACUGACACUCAGAGGCGAAAGCUAGGGUAGCAAAAGGGAUUAGAUACCCCUGUAGUCCUAGCCGUAAACGAUGGAUACUACAUGUUGCGUUUUAUAUGCAGUACGGUAGCUAACGCGUUAAGUAUCCCGCCUGGGGAGUACGCUCGCAAGGGUGAAACUCAAAGGAAUUGACGGGGGCCCGCACAAGCGGUGGAGCAUGUGGUUUAAUUCGAUGCAACGCGAAGAACCUUACCAAGGCUUGACAUACUACAAAUUUCUUUGAAAAAGGAAGUGCCUUCGGGAAUGUAGAUACAGG